UACGAAGGGGGCUAGCGUUGCUCGGAAUCACUGGGCGUAAAGCGCACGUAGGCGGAUUUUAAGUCAGGGGUGAAAUCCUGGAGCUCAACUCCAGAACUGCCUUUGAUACUGGCGAUCUCGAGUCCGGGAGAGGUGAGUGGAACUGCGAGUGUAGAGGUGAAAUUCGUAGAUAUUCGCAAGAACACCAGUGGCGAAGGCGGCUCACUGGCCCGGUACUGACGCUGAGGUGCGAAAGCGUGGGGAGCAAACAGG
rnacentral:rRNA from 1 species